UACAUUGAAUUUAGUAAUUACAAUUAAUACCUUACGAUAUCUUGUUUAUUGUUCCUAUGACCUAUUCUAUUUCUAAGUAUUACAAAAUGUCCUAAGGCUCAAAAGGUUUUUUGCGUGAAUAUUAAAUAAGUUAUUUAAUGUAACCGAAAUAACAAAAACAGUUCCAUUAUUCUUAUUUCAAACAUAUAAUAUUCUAAAUUGAUUCAAGUAACGAAUUCAAUCAAUUUCAGCAAAUAAAACAAAAAAAGAAAAAAAUUACGACUGAACAACAAUAAAAGGUGAACAACAUAAGAAUACUUGAUGGUGAAAAUGCUCAGAGGACUGAUAAUUUUUGGUGCUGGUGUGUACACUGGUGUAUAUGUUGCCCAGUCAUACGAGAUAGAAAAGGUUGAGGAUCCAAUGGUUUUAUUUCAAAGAUUUCAGAGUUUUGUGAAAACAAAAAUGGAUGAACUAAAUGGUAAGAAAAGUGAUUAAGAAACAAGAAGAUUAAUAGAAACGACAAUGAAUUGAAACAACAUGUAAAUAUCUUAUAAUGUAGUACCAAUUUAAUAAAUAUUGAAUAUAUAA